rnacentral:rRNA from 1 species
UACGAAGGGGGCAAGCGUUGUUCGGAAUUACUGGGCGUAAAGGGCUCGUAGGCGGCCAACUAAGUCAGACGUGAAAUCCCUCGGCUUAACCGGGGAACUGCAUCUGAUACUGGAUGGCUUGAGUUCGGGAGAGGGAUGCGGAAUUCCAGGUGUAGCGGUGAAAUGCGUAGAUAUCUGGAGGAACACCGGUGGCGAAGGCGGCAUCCUGGACCGACACUGACGCUGAGGAGCGAAAGCCAGGGGAGCAAACGGG